rnacentral:rRNA from 1 species
AAAGGGUGAUAGCCCCGUACACUAAAAUGCACAGGUCGUGAGUUCGAUGAGUAGGGCGGGACACGUGACAUCCUGUCUGAAUAUGGGGGGACCAUCCUCCAAGGCUAAAUACUCCUGACUGACCGAUAGUGAACCAGUACCGUGAGGGAAAGGCGAAAAGAACCCCGGCGAGGGGAGUGAAAUAGAACCUGAAACCGUGUACGUACAAGCAGUGGGAGCACCUUCGUGGUGUGACUGCGUACCUUUUGUAUAAUGGGUCAGCGACUUAUAUUUUGUAGCAAGGUUAACCGUAUAGGGGAGCCGUAGGGAAACCGAGUCUUAACUGGGCGAUUAGUUGCAAGGUAUAGACCCGAAACCCGGUGAUCUAGCCAUGGGCAGGUUGAAGGUUGGGUAACACUAACUGGAGGACCGAACCGACUAAUGUUGAAAAAUUAGCGGAUGACUUGUGGCUGGGGGUGAAAGGCCAAUCAAACCGGGAGAUAGCUGGUUCUCCCCGAAAGCUAUUUAGGUAGCGCCUCGUGAACUCAUCUUCGGGGGUAGAGCACUGUUUCGGCUAGGGGGCCAUCCCGGCUUACCAAACCGAUGCAAACUCCGAAUACCGAAGAAUGUUAUCACGGGAGACACACGGCGGGUGCUAACGUCCGUCGUGAAGAGGGAAACAACCCAGACCGCCAGCUAAGGUCCCAAAGUCAUGGUUAAGUGGGAAACGAUGUGGGAAGGCAUAGACAGCCAGGAUGUUGGCUUAGAAGCAGCCAUCAUUUAAAGAAAGCGUAAUAGCUCACUGGUCGAGUCGGCCUGCGCGGAAGAUGUAACGGGGCUAAACCAUGCACCGAAGCUGCGGCAGCGACGCUUAGGCGUUGUUGGGUAGGGGAGCGUUCUGUAAGCCGUUGAAGGUGGCCUGUGAGGGUUGCUGGAGGUAUCAGAAGUGCGAAUGCUGACAUAAGUAACGAUAAAGCGGGUGAAAAGCCCGCUCGCCGGAAGACCAAGGGUUCCUGUCCAACGUUAAUCGGGGCAGGGUGAGUCGACCCCUAAGGCGAGGCUGAAAAGCGUAGUCGAUGGGAAACAGGUUAAUAUUCCUGUACUUGGUGUUACUGCGAAGGGGGGACGGAGAAGGCUAGGCUGGCCGGGCGACGGUUGUCCCGGUUUAAGCGUGUAGGGGGUGUGACCUGGUAAAUCCGGUUGCAUAUCAACCCUGAGGCGUGAUGACGAUGCACUACGGUGCAGAAGUAGUUGAUGCCCUGCUUCCAGGAAAAUCCUCUAAGCUCCAGGUAACAUUAAAUCGUACCCCAAACCGACACAGGUGGUCAGGUAGAGAAUACCAAGGCGCUUGAGAGAACUCGGGUGAAGGAACUAGGCAAAAUGGUGCCGUAACUUCGGGAGAAGGCACGCUGGCAUGUAGGUGAAGUCCCUUGCGGAUGGAGCUGAAGCCAGUCGAAGAUACCAGCUGGCUGCAACUGUUUAAUAAAAACACAGCACUGUGCAAACACGAAAGUGGACGUAUACGGUGUGACGCCUGCCCGGUGCUGGAAGGUUAAUUGAUGGGGUCAGCCGCAAGGCGAAGCUCUUGAUCGAAGCCCCAGUAAACGGCGGCCGUAACUAUAACGGUCCUAAGGUAGCGAAAUUCCUUGUCGGGUAAGUUCCGACCUGCACGAAUGGCGUAAUGAUGGCCAGGCUGUCUCCACCCGAGACUCAGUGAAAUUGAACUCGCUGUGAAGAUGCAGUGUACCCGCGGCAAGACGGAAAGACCCCGUGAACCUUUACUAUAGCUUGACACUGAACAUUGAGCCUUGAUGUGUAGGAUAGGUGGGAGGCUUUGAAGCGUGGACGCCAGUCUGCGUGGAGCCAUCCUUGAAAUACCACCCUUUAAUGUUUGAUGUUCUAACUCGGCCCCGUAAUCCGGGGUGAGGACAGUGUCUGGUGGGUAGUUUGACUGGGGCGGUCUCCUCCCAAAGAGUAACGGAGGAGCACGAAGGUUAGCUAAUCACGGUCGGACAUCGUGAGGUUAGUGCAAAGGCAUAAGCUAGCUUGACUGCGAGAGUGACGGCUCGAGCAGGUACGAAAGUAGGUCUUAGUGAUCCGGUGGUUCUGAAUGGAAGGGCCAUCGCUCAACGGAUAAAAGGUACUCCGGGGAUAACAGGCUGAUACCGCCCAAGAGUUCAUAUCGACGGCGGUGUUUGGCACCUCGAUGUCGGCUCAUCACAUCCUGGGGCUGAAGUAGGUCCCAAGGGUAUGGCUGUUCGCCAUUUAAAGUGGUACGCGAGCUGGGUUUAGAACGUCGUGAGACAGUUCGGUCCCUAUCUGCCGUGGGCGUUGGAAGAUUGAGAGGGGUUGCUCCUAGUACGAGAGGACCGGAGUGAACGCACCACUGGUGUUCGGGUUGUCAUGCCAAUGGCAUUGCCCGGUAGCUAAGUGCGGAAAAGAUAAGCGCUGAAAGCAUCUAAGCGCGAAACUUGCCUCAAGAUGAGUCUUCCCUGGGCCUU